rnacentral:misc_RNA from 1 species
GUGAAUCAUCGAAUUUUUGAACGCAAAUUGCGCUUCCUGGCAUCCCGGGAAGUAUGCCUGUUUGAGGGUCAGUAGUAAUAAAAAAUCGGGUUAGGUACAAGUUGUGAGGUUUGCGGAUGGGGGGCGAUCUUAACAUUUUUGGUUAAGAGGCGGAGAAUUGACCUUGGUGGGGCAUUUUUAAAGGGACAUAAAUUUUUUUUAUUCGUCUAUUAUUAAGGCUAAAAUCUUAUUUGAUGUGAGCACAUCGUGUGG